rnacentral:rRNA from 1 species
GCAAGUCGAACGGAAACGAUAGAAGCUUUCUUCUAUGCGUCGAGUGGCGGACGGGUAAGUAACGCGUAGGAAUCUGCCUGAUAGUGGGGGAUAGCCCAGAGAAAUCUGGAUUAAUACCGCAUAGUCUCUACGGAGUAAAGAGGGCCUCUAUUUAUAAGCUUGCGCUAUCAGAUGAGCCUGCGUCAGAUUAGCUAGUUGGUGAGGUAAAUGCUCACCAAGGCAACGAUCUGUAGCUGGUCUGAGAGGAUGAUC